rnacentral:rRNA from 1 species
GAUGAACGCUGGCGGCGUGCUUAACACAUGCAAGUCGAACGGAAAGGCCCAAGCUUGCUUGGGUACUCAAGUGGCGAACGGGUGAGUAACACGUGGGUGAUCUGCCCUGCACUUCGGGAUAAGCCUGGGAAACUGGGGCUAAUACCGGAUAGGACGAUGGUUUGGAUGCUAUUGGGGGAAGUUUUUUCGGUGUUGGAUGAGCUCGCGGCCUAUCAGCUCGUGGUGGGGGGAUUGGCCUAUCAAAGGGUCGUGGGGUAGCGCGCCUGUGAGAGGGUGCGGGCACAUUUGGGCUGAGAUACGGGCCAGAGUCCUACGGGGGGCAGAAGUGGGGAAUAUUGCACAAUGGGGGCAAGAGUGAGGCAGAGACGCCGCGUGGGGGAUGACGGCGUUUGGGUUGUAAACUCCUUUCGCUAGGGACGAGGCGUGUUUGUGACGGUACCUGGAGAAGAAGCACCGGCUAACUACGUG